AUAAAUCUCUAACCAACCAAGCAGAGGUUUUGAGGACAAUGAGAAGGAAGCUGAGUUGAAGAAACAUCUUCAUGGAUGAUACUGGUGAACUUUGAUUACGGAGGGGAUUGGAUGUUGCUGGGAGAGGUUGGAGGCCACAGUUGUAUGGAAUUCAUGGUAUCCUGGUAAACGUGGUAUCAGUCAAUGAAAUGUGUACCAUAAAGCAGCAGCAUUGGAAGCCAAGUGUUAAAGAUGGCAGAGCAAUCAGAUGUAAGGAGCCUGGGUUCCUGGGUUUCUGAAUCAUUGCGUGGAGGGGAGCCACCUGACAAUCAGGAACACCCAAUUUGGACUUAC